CUUGAAAAUUGUUGGAAACAUUUGGGAUAAUAAAGCAAGAAGACAAAGACAAAAGCAAGAAGAAACUGGCAGCCAGCCUGGACAAUCAGCCAGCAACCAGCAAAAAGCAGCAGGGUCUCAGAUAAGACAGAAGGAAAUUACAACAAAGUAGUAAUCUAAUGUGUAAAGUUGUCAAUCAAUAGAUCAGUAGUGUUGGUGUGUGGAUGUGUAAUGUUGUAGGGUGUAAACCAAAGAGAAAUGCAAAAAAAACCCAAACAAAAUUAACAUGUGGUGCCAGGGGGAGAGCCAGCGAUGAAGUCAGAAAGCAAGGAAUGGAAUGGCUUGUGCUGUCUGCCUUCAAAACAUAAUGACUUUACCCUACAUAAUUAACAUCAUUAAAAUAUUAAUAAUGAAAAAGAAA